GAAAAGAGUGCUUAAACAAUCAAACAGAACAGACGCAGGAGUCGGCAACUGAGAAUCGACCGGAGAUAUAAGAAAAGCUUCACACUGACUCCGCCGUCUUUAUCCCUCCGUGAAUCAAACAUUAUCUUUGAAAUUAUUCAUAAAUGGGUCAAUUUGUAUCUGCAAGGAGUGUCAAUGUGCGUGAAAACCUAGAAGCAGCAACACUCGGUAAUAUUUCUUGAUUUGUCAUAAAUACAUCUAAAUGCUUGACUUCAGGGCUUGAUGUUGGUGAACCUUCAUAAGUGUAUCUUGAACUGCACCUUGGGACCCUUUUACUUUUUUAGUCAAACAUGUGUGCUACUGCAUUUGUAAUCCUCAUGUUCAUUGGUCAUCAUUAUGGAUAUUGCAAAUCUGAGGCUGAUCCAGAUAGUCAUAACUCAUAAGAUAGAUAUGACUCAGUAAGUUGUUGGUCCUAAAGGUUUUAAAAAAAUGGGAUGAUUUUUUGCUUGAAAAUUACCUUGUUUGACCGUCAAAAGUCAAAGUGCAACAGUUCCAUGUCUUUAUACUUUUCAACGGAUUCCAACCUUGAAACAAGAGUAUAUUGAAAGACAGACACUUCACACAUGAUCAAGUACAAGUAAGUAGUAACAAACAUAAAGAUAUUCUCGUAAAAUCAUGCUUUCAUCUUGAUGCUAAAGUUUUAAGUUAAUACUCGAAUAUAAUCGUUUUGAUUUUUGUUG